rnacentral:rRNA from 1 species
AGAGUUUGAUCCUGGCUCAGAACGAACGCUGGCGGCGUGGAUAAGACAUGCAAGUCGAACGGGAUAACAUCUGUAGCAAUACAGGUGUUAUUUAGUGGCGAACGGGUGCGUAACACGUGGGCAAUCUGCCGAGAAGUGGGGGGAUAGCUCGCCGAAAGGCGAAUUAAUACCGCAUAUGGUCAGUGAAGACAUCUUCACAACACCAAAGCCGGGGUAACCUGGCGCUUUUUGAUGAGCCCGCGGCCUAUCAGCUAGUUGGUGAGGUAACGGCUCACCAAGGCAUUGACGGGUAGCUGGUCUGAGAGGACGACCAGUCACACUGGAACUGAGACACGGUCCAGACACCUACGGGUGGCAGCAGUCGAGAAUUUUUCACAAUGGGGGCAACCCUGAUGGAGCGACGCCGCGUGGAGGAUGAAGGCUUUCGGGUUGUAAACUCCUGUCAUUUGAGAACAAGGUGCAUCGAUUAACUGUCGAUGCAUUGAUAGUAUCAGAAGAGGAAGAGACGGCUAACUCUGUGCCAGCAGCCGCGGUAAUACAGAGGUCUCAAGCGUUGUUCGGAUUCAUUGGGCGUAAAGGGUGCGUAGGUGGCGGGGUAAGUCAGGUGUGAAAUUUCGGAGCUCAACUCCGAAACUGCAUUUGAUACUGCCUUGCUUGAGGACUGGAGAGGAGACUGGAAUUUACGGUGUAGCAGUGAAAUGCGUAGAGAUCGUAAGGGAAGACCAGUGGCGAAGGCGGGUCUCUGGACAGUUCCUGACACUGAGGCACGAAGGCCAGGGGAGCAAACGGGAUUAGAUACCCUAGUAGUCC